GACGUGCUGAGAAAUUCACUGUUAUGUUCUCUGUCCUUGAGCUGUCCGCCCUCACACACGUGGUCACUUUCCCCUAAAAAUUGUUUAAUCUGGUUCUCUUUAUCUACUUGUAGGAUCUGUGCAGGAUCCACUGAUGUACAUAAGAGCAGCUUCCUGUCUGCAGUGUCUGUGCUCCAUCUGUCUGGAUGUGUUCACCGUUCACCAGACGCAGCUUCUGAACAACUACGGCACACUGCACGGCGACGCUCGUGUCCCUGUUUUUCACAUUAAACUGCACUUUUAUUUCUGCUGCUGACGUUAUGCAAACCGCUGCAGGAGGAAUAGACUGACAGCUUCAUCUAAGAUCUGGAAAAACUCCAGUUCCUCCAAAGUUUCCCGUUCCCGAAGUCUGUUCCAUCCACCGAACACUGGACCGAGGGCAAAGUUGAGCCGUUAUGUGGCGGCAGAAAGAGAACUGUUGAUGAGCUGCAGGAGACGCACGAGCUGUGCAGUAACUGUGAAGUGAAGAGGGCCUAGAAGUACGCAGUGGAUGUGACUCUUGGUCCUGACACAGCAAAUAUCUAUCUCAUCCUUUCUGAUAAUGGGAUGCAAGUCAGCCCUGGAACAGUCAAACAGAACCUUCCAGACACCCAAAGAGAUUUUCUGUUGUUGAGUUUGAGGAAAGCAGCCAGAUUUAGUUUGAGGUUCAGGGCAGGAAGACUGGAUCUUAGCCCAAAGACCGUGAACAGGAAGCAGGCAGUGAAUAGCUGUACGUUUGGCCUCACGCGGUGGCUGUUUGUGGACCCUGAAUCGGAGCUGGUCACUUUUAUAAUAUAGAUGGGCCGUAUGAUAAAGUGUUACGCAGAACGAAUAAAGUAUGAACUGAAUCUCCUUCCUGUUUUCCUUUGGAAAUAAGUCUGUGAAACUCUUUUAGUAGUGAACUAAACCACAGAGUAACAUCCCCAAACUGCCAAUACUCAGUGUAGAUGACCUCACCGAUGUCAUGCAAUACAAGUCAUAAAAUAGGAUCAGACGUACAGUCACAUCGAUCCUUUUAUUUUCGACUGUGGAGCUACGUAUUCCUUUCUUCAGGUAUUCACAAGCGUGAUUAUAUUGGGAAUCAUUUGUUUAAUCGUUUCACAGCUGACUGAGAUUUUUUCACUUGUGUUUGAAUUGGUGUCUAAA
ensembl:lncRNA